UUCAACUCAGUGGCGGACGGGUGAGUAACGCGUGAGUAACCUGCCUUUCAGAGGGGGAUAACGUUCUGAAAAGAACGCUAAUACCGCAUAAGAUUGUAGCUUCGCAUGGAGCAGCAAUCAAAGGAGCAAUCCGCUGAAAGAUGGACUCGCGUCCGAUUAGAUAGUUGGCGGGGUAACGGCCCACCAAGUCGACGAUCGGUAGCCGGACUGAGAGGUUGAUCGGCCACAUUGGGACUGAGACACGGCCCAGACUCCUACGGGAGGCAGCAGUGAGGGAUAUUGGGCAAUGGGGGAAACCCUGACCCAGCAACGCCGCGUGAGGGAUGACGGUUUUCGGAUUGUAAACCUCUGUCCUCUGUGAAGAUAGUGACGGUAGCAGAGGAGGAAGCUCCGGCUAACUACGUGCCAGCAGCCGCGGUAAUACGUAGGGAGCAAGCGUUGUCCGGAUUUACUGGGUGUAAAGGGUGCGUAGGCGGAUUGGCAAGUCAGAAGUGAAAUCCAUGGGCUUAACCCAUGAACUGCUUUUGAAACUGUUAGUCUUGAGUGAAGUAGAGGUAGGCGGAAUUCCCGGUGUAGCGGUGAAAUGCGUAGAGAUCGGGAGGAACACCAGUGGCGAAGG
rnacentral:rRNA from 1 species